GUGCACCUGCUGGUGGGACAGCAGCUUGGAGGAGCAUUUGAAGCCCUUGCCGCACUGGGUGCAGGUGUAGGGGCGCUCGCCGGUGUGGGUGCGCUGGUGUUGCAGCAGGUUGCUGGAUUGGGUGAAGCCAAUGCCGCACUGGGCACAGGUGUAGGGGCGUUCGCCGGUGUGGAUGCGCUGGUGCACCAGCAAGUGGCUGGAGUGGGUGAAGCCCUUGCCGGUCACUGCAGGUGCAGGGAUGGG